rnacentral:rRNA from 1 species
CCGGCGACCGGCGGCACGGGUGAGUAACACGUAUGCAACCUGGCCGUGACAGAUGGAUAAACCGGGAGAAAUCCCGCCUAAUACAACAUAAUGCCGGGAGGGGACAUCCCCUGCCGGCCAAAGGGGGCGACCCCAGUCACGGAUGGGCAUGCGGCGCAUUAGGUAGUUGGUGGGGCAACGGCCCACCAAGCCGACGAUGCGUAGGGGUUCUGAGAGGAAGGUCCCCCACAUUGGAACUGAGACACGGUCCAAACUCCUACGGAAGGCAGCAG